GAUGAACGCUGGCGGCGUGCCUAAUACAUGCAAGUCGAGCGAACAGACGAGGAGCUUGCUCCUCUGACGUUAGCGGCGGACGGGUGAGUAACACGUGGAUAACCUACCUAUAAGACUGGGAUAACUUCGGGAAACCGGAGCUAAUACCGGAUAAUAUAUUGAACCGCAUGGUUCAAUAGUGAAAGACGGUUUUGCUGUCACUUAUAGAUGGAUCCGCGCCGCAUUAGCUAGUUGGUAAGGUAACGGCUUACCAAGGCGACGAUGCGUAGCCGACCUGAGAGGGUGAUCGGCCACACUGGAACUGAGACACGGUCCAGACUCCUACGGGAGGCAGCAGUAGGGAAUCUUGCGCAAUGGGCGAAAGCUUGACGGAGCAACGCCGCGUGAGUGAUGAAGGUCUUCGGAUCGUAAAACUCUGUUAUUAGGGAAGAACAAAUGUGUAAGUAAAUAUGCACGUCUUGACGGUACCUAAUCAGAAAGCCACGGCUAACUACGUG
rnacentral:rRNA from 1 species